UUAAGCGACUAAGCGUACACGGUGGAUGCCCUGGCAGUCAGAGGCGAUGAAGGACGUGCUAAUCUGCGAAAAGCGUCGGUAAGGUGAUAUGAACCGUUAUAACCGGCGAUGUCCGAAUGGGGAAACCCAGUGCAAUUCGUUGCACUAUCGUUAACUGAAUACAUAGGUUAACGAGGCGAACCGGGGGAACUGAAACAUCUAAGUACCCCGAGGAAAAGAAAUCAACCGAGAUUCCCCCAGUAGCGGCGAGCGAACGGGGAGCAGCCCAGAGUCUGAAUCAGCUUGUGUGUUAGUGGAACGGUCUGGAAAGUCCGACGGUACAGGGUGAUAGUCCCGUACACCAAAAUGCACAGGCUGUGAACUCGAAGAGUAGGGCGGGACACGUGGUAUCCUGUCUGAAUAUGGGGACCAUCCUCCGCUAAAUACUCCUGACUGACCGAUAGUGAACCAGUACCGUGAGGGAAAGGCGAAAAGAACCCCGGCGAGGGGAGUGAAAAAGAACCUGAAACCGUGUACGUACAAGCAGUGGGAGCACCUUCGGGUGUGACUGCGUACCUUUUGUAUAAUGGGUCAGCGACUUAUAUUCUGUAGCAAGGUUAACCGUAUAGGGGAGCCGCAGGGAAACCGAGUCUUAACUGGGCGUUAAGUUGCAGGGUAUAGACCCGAAACCCGGUGAUCUAGCCAUGGGCAGGUUGAAGGUUGGGUAACACUAACUGGAGGACCGAACCGACUAAUGUUGAAAAAUUAGCGGAUGACUUGUGGCUGGGGGUGAAAGGCCAAUCAAACCGGGAGAUAGCUGGUUCUCCCCGAAAGCUAUUUAGGUAGCGCCUCGUGAACUCAUCUUCGGGGGUAGAGCACUGUUUCGGCUAGGGGGUCAUCCCGACUUACCAACCCGAUGCAAACUACGAAUACCGAAGAAUGUUAUCACGGGAGACACACGGCGGGUGCUAACGUCCGUCGUGAAGAGGGAAACAACCCAGACCGCCAGCUAAGGUCCCAAAGUCAUGGUUAAGUGGGAAACGAUGUGGGAAGGCACAGACAGCCAGGAUGUUGGCUUAGAAGCAGCCAUCAUUUAAAGAAAGCGUAAUAGCUCACUGGUCGAGUCGGCCUGCGCGGAAGAUGUAACGGGGCUAAACCAUGCACCGAAGCUGCGGCAGCGACACUAUGUGUUGUUGGGUAGGGGAGCGUUCUGUAAGCCUGCGAAGGUGUGCUGUGAGGCAUGCUGGAGGUAUCAGAAGUGCGAAUGCUGACAUAAGUAACGAUAAAGCGGGUGAAAAGCCCGCUCGCCGGAAGACCAAGGGUUCCUGUCCAACGUUAAUCGGGGCAGGGUGAGUCGACCCCUAAGGCGAGGCCGAAAGGCGUAGUCGAUGGGAAACAGGUUAAUAUUCCUGUACUUGGUGUUACUGCGAAGGGGGGACGGAGAAGGCUAUGUUAGCCGGGCGACGGUUGUCCCGGUUUAAGCAUGUAGGCUGGUUGUCCAGGCAAAUCCGGAUAAUCAAGGCUGAGGUGUGAUGACGAGGCACUACGGUGCUGAAGUAACAAAUGCCCUGCUUCCAGGAAAAGCCUCUAAGCAUCAGGUAACAUCAAAUCGUACCCCAAACCGACACAGGUGGUCAGGUAGAGAAUACCAAGGCGCUUGAGAGAACUCGGGUGAAGGAACUAGGCAAAAUGGUGCCGUAACUUCGGGAGAAGGCACGCUGGUGUGUAGGUGAAGUCCCUGCGGAUGGAGCUGAGACCAGUCGAAGAUACCAGCUGGCUGCAACUGUUUAUUAAAAAACACAGCACUGUGCAAACACGAAAGUGGACGUAUACGGUGUGACGCCUGCCCGGUGCCGGAAGGUUAAUUGAUGGGGUUAUCCGUAAGGAGAAGCUCUUGAUCGAAGCCCCGGUAAACGGCGGCCGUAACUAUAACGGUCCUAAGGUAGCGAAAUUCCUUGUCGGGUAAGUUCCGACCUGCACGAAUGGCGUAAUGAUGGCCAGGCUGUCUCCACCCGAGACUCAGUGAAAUUGAACUCGCUGUGAAGAUGCAGUGUACCCGCGGCAAGACGGAAAGACCCCGUGAACCUUUACUAUAGCUUGACACUGAACAUUGAGCCUUGAUGUGUAGGAUAGGUGGGAGGCUUUGAAGCGUGGACGCCAGUCUGCGUGGAGCCAACCUUGAAAUACCACCCUUUAAUGUUUGAUGUUCUAACGUUGGCCCCUUACCGGGGUUGCGGACAGUGUCUGGUGGGUAGUUUGACUGGGGCGGUCUCCUCCCAAAGCGUAACGGAGGAGCACGAAGGUUAGCUAAUCCUGGUCGGACAUCAGGAGGUUAGUGCAAUGGCAUAAGCUAGCUUGACUGCGAGCGUGACGGCGCGAGCAGGUGCGAAAGCAGGUCAUAGUGAUCCGGUGGUUCUGAAUGGAAGGGCCAUCGCUCAACGGAUAAAAGGUACGGGGAUAACAGGCUGAUACCGCCCAAGAGUUCAUAUCGACGGCGGUGUUUGGCACCUCGAUGUCGGCUCAUCACAUCCUGGGGCUGAAGUAGGUCCCAAGGGUAUGGCUGUUCGCCAUUUAAAGUGGUACGCGAGCUGGGUUUAGAACGUCGUGAGACAGUUCGGUCCCUAUCUGCCGUGGGCGCUGGAGAAUUGAGGGGGGCUGCUCCUAGUACGAGAGGACCGGAGUGGACGCAUCACUGGUGUUCGGGUUGUCAUGCCAAUGGCACUGCCCGGUAGCUAAAUGCGGAAGAGAUAAGUGCUGAAAGCAUCUAAGCACGAAACUUGCCCCGAGAUGAGUUCUCCCUGAGACUUUAAGUCUCCUGAAGGAACGUUAAAGACGAUGACGUUGAUAGGCCGGGUGUGUAAGCGCAGCGAUGCGUUGAGCUAACCGGUACUAAUGAACCGUGAGGCUUAACCU
rnacentral:rRNA from 1 species